GUUUCCAUACAAUAUUGUUCUUCUUAAAC
rnacentral:other from 20 species